GGUUCGGUGGUACAAUCGGUUAGAGCGCCAUACUUAUAAUGUGGAGGUUGUGAGUUCGAACCUCACCCGGAACA
rnacentral:tRNA from 1 species